CCGACUACGUGGCAGCAGCGCCUGUGACACGGAUGAACCAAUGGUGUUCCGGAGUGAUUUGGCGGAAAGAGCUCGUAGGCGGGUCGGUAAGUCGGGUGUGAAAACUUUGGGCUCAACCCAAAGCGGGCACUCGAUACUGCCGUGACUAGAGUUCGGUAGGGGAGCGGGGAAUUCCUAGUGUAGCGGUGAAAUGCGCAGAUAUUAGGAGGAACACCGGUGGCGAAGGCGCCGCUCUGGGCCGAAACUGACGCUGAGGAGCGAAAGCGUGGGUAGCAAACAGGAUUAGAUACCCCUGUAGUC
rnacentral:rRNA from 1 species